GACGAACGCUGGCGGCGUGCCUAAUACAUGCAAGUCGAACGAGAGCGACCGGUGCUUGCACUGGUCAAUCUAGUGGCGAACGGGUGAGUAACACGUGGGUAACCUGCCCAUCAGAGGGGGAUAACAUUCGGAAACGGAUGCUAAAACCGCAUAGGUUCUUGAGCUGCAUGGCUCGAGAAGGAAAAGAGGCUUCGGCUUCUGCUGAUGGAUGGACCCGCGGUGCAUUAGCUAGUUGGUGAGGUAACGGCUCACCAAGGCCGUGAUGCAUAGCCGACCUGAGAGGGUGAUCGGCCACAUUGGGACUGAGACACGGCCCAAACUCCUACGGGAGGCAGCAGUAGGGAAUCUUCCGCAAUGGACGCAAGUCUGACGGAGCAACGCCGCGUGAGUGAAGAAGGAUUUCGGUUCGUAAAACUCUGUUGUUAGAGAAGAACAGCGCAUAGAGUAACUGUUAUGCGUGUGACGGUAUCUAACCAGAAAGCCAC
rnacentral:rRNA from 1 species